UCGACUACAUGAAGCUGGAAUCGCUAGUAAUCGCGAAUCAGAAUGUCGCGGUGAAUACGUUCCCGGGUCUUGUACACACCGCCCGUCACACCAUGGAGUUGGGAAUGCCCGAAGCCGGUGACCUAACCGAAAGGGAGGAGCCGUCGAAGGCAGGCUUGAUAACUGGGGUGAAGUCGUAACAAGGUAGC
rnacentral:rRNA from 1 species